rnacentral:lncRNA from 1 species
UUGGGUCUUGGGCCUUGGAUAUGGGGUUGGAUCUUGGAUCUUGGGCGUUGGACCUGGACUUGAGCCUUGGGCCUGGACACAUUCCUUUCCUUCUCAAAAUGAAUUUCCUUUUGGAUUCCUGGAGGCAUUUUAUGAAGGACUUAUGAAUCGAAACCUUAUAUACCCAUUUUUCUCAAUUCAACAAGCCCUUUUCUUUACCCUAAUUUGCUCUCUGAAAACAGCACCUCUUUGAAACCCUACCUUCUCAUUUCUCCCAAAACUCACCUCGAAUUUUCCCUUCUCAGCCUCUCUGUCUCUCCACAGCUCCCUCUCUCAGUUUUCUCUCUGCUUUUUCAAAUGUCCUUGCUUCUCUCCCCUUAUUCUCAGCUUCUUCCUCCGUUCCCUCUCUUUUGUAGGCCAAAGCCAUUUUCCUCUCUCCGUCUCGAUGUGGAGUCCUGUUUCACCUACUCUUGCUUUCCUGGUCAUGACAGGUACAAGCUUCUAUUUUGGUGGAAGGAAGGAACACGAGAACGUGAAGGUUGAUGUUGAUUUGGGGAGUAAAACGGGGCCGUUUGGAGUUUGAAAAAUAACGGCCUUGG